rnacentral:tRNA from 1 species
GGGCGCUUGGUCUAGGGGUAUGAUUUUCGUUUCGCAUACGAAAGGUCAUGGGUUCAAUUCCCAUAGCGUCCA